UUAAGGAUUAAAAUAAAAACUUAUUUAAGCAACAAAAACUUUGGAAUACAAGAUAAUGAGCCCAAUUAUUACCAUCUUAUAAAAAUGAUAGAAUGGAGGACUUGCAACUUACAAUUACAAUGUCAACCCUAUCAUAGUAUUCAAUAUUGAUAAUCCAAAAAAAAGAAAGAAAAAACAAAUGAGAGAGCAAUACAUUUCCUUAAUUUCCUCUCUCCCAAAAAUUACAAACAAUCUUAUCAAAUUAUUUGACAUUAAUAGAUGAAUCAACCUAACAUGUCUUCUCUUCAAGACUUGCACCAAUAUAUACUAUACCAACAAAUUUUUCUUUGAAAUUGCACAAAAGCUAUGAAUCAACUUUAGUGAAAUUAGGAAAACUUAGAUAAGCCUAAAUUAAAUUUUUUUCAAGACUUGAUAAUCCCAAGUGUUUCUGCUUGAAGUGAAACAGAAUGUUUAACAUCACCAAUAUGAAGACUAUGUACCCCCAUUGGAAUUCUCCUAAUCCCA
rnacentral:lncRNA from 1 species